GACGAACGCUGGCGGCGUGCUUAACACAUGCAAGUCGAGGGGCAGCGAGGGCGUAGCAAUACGCCUGUCGGCGACCGGCGCACUGGUGAGUAACACGUAUGCGACCUGCCCCCUACAGGGGUAUAACCCGUAGAAAUGCGGACUAAUCCCCCAUAGUCCUGGGUGCUGCAUGGCAUUCAGGGGAAAGCCAGCCGGUAGGGGAUGGGCAUGCGGCGCAUUAGCUAGUUGGCGGGGCAACGGCCCACCAAGGCGACGAUGCGUAGGGGUUCUGAGAGGAAGGUCCCCCACAUUGGAACUGAGACACGGUCCAAAACUCCUACGGGAGGCAGCAGUGAGGAAUAUUGGUCAAUGGGCGAGAGCCUGAACCAGCCAAGUAGCGUGCAGGAAGACGGCCCUAAUGGGGUUGUAAAACUGCUUUCAGUCGGGAAUAAUUCGUCGGUCGUGACCCGGCGUUGCAGGUACCGUCAUAAGAAGGACCGGCUAAAUUCCGUGCCAGCAGCC
rnacentral:rRNA from 1 species